GACGAACGCUGGCGGCGUGCCUAAUACAUGCAAGUAGAACGCACAGUUUAUACCGUAGCUUGCUACACCAUAGACUGUGAGUUGCGAACGGGUGAGUAACGCGUAGGUAACCUGCCUGGUAGCGGAGGAUAACUAUUGGAAACGAUAGCUAAUACCGCAUAAUAUUAAUUAUUGCAUGAUAAUUAAUUGAAAGGUGCAAUUGCACCACUACCAGAUGGACCUGCGUUGUAUUAGCUAGUAGGUGAGGUAACGGCUCACCUAGGCGACGAUACAUAGCCGACCUGAGAGGGUGAUCGGCCACACUGGGACUGAGACACGGCCCAGACUCCUACGGGAGGCAGCAGUAGGGAAUCUUCGGCAAUGGACGAAAGUCUGACCGAGCAACGCCGCGUGAGUGAAGAAGGUUUUCGGAUCGUAAAGCUCUGUUGUAAGAGAAGAACGGGUGUGAGAGUGGAAAGUUCACACUGUGACGGUAUCUUACCAGAAAGGGACGGCUAACUACGUG
rnacentral:rRNA from 1 species